AACAAUAUUUCAACGGAUGCUUCAUCCCUUCAGCUGAUUUAUUCUCGUCCCCCAGGGCACACAGUCCUUUUGGAGCUCAGAAUUACCUUCUAAAUUUGAUCUGAACUUAAGCUCCAUCUCCCUCUAUUUAGACUGAAGAUAUGUGGCGUUACCCCGCGUGCCCCAGUGAUUCUAAUUUCUACUCAGGACCAGCCUUUUCUCGAUUCCCUACCAAGUGACCCCCCCAAACAAAAGACAGCGGCGAUGAAGUGUUUCAUGUAGCAUCAAGAUGGACCCCAAAACAGGAUUCGUUUUGGUCCUGAGAAAGCCGGAGCUCUGAGGACACUCUGUUCAUGCAUGGUAGCACCUGCUCAAGGGGCCUUCCUGUUGGAAAGUGGGAUUAGCCGCUUUCAAGCUUCUUGAAGCUAGGAUGCUGCAGAUAUAAGGCCCUCUGAUACCUUUGCUAAGUGCUUCUGUGAAAACUACUUAAACAUCCAGCUUUUCAUUUUGUAAUCAAAUCAGAUAAAGUCUCCAGCAAGAGAGAAUACACAGAGCUUCAAAUGCAAGGAUCAGCCCAGAUUUCACGCCAGACUGGAACCGUCUGUCUUCAGAGGCGGGCUCUCUCGAUAACUGCGUUUCAU